rnacentral:ncRNA from 2 species
UACUUAUCCAGAGAGGUGGAGGGACUGGCCCUGCGAAACCUCGGCAACGGGUUUGCUUCUUAUUGCAAAUACCGUGCUAAUUCCUGCAAAUCGAUACAAUCGGUUUGAAAGAUAAGAA